rnacentral:tRNA from 1 species
GCUCCGGUGGUGUAAGGCGAACAUCGCUGCCCGGAAAGCAGAAGAUGCGGGUUCGAGUCCCGCCUGGCGCA